UUCCCUACGGGACGCAGCAGUGGGGAAUAUUGGGCAAUGGGCGAAAGCCUGACCCAGCAACGCCGCGUGAAGGAAGAAGGCUUUCGGGUUGUAAACUUCUUUUGACAGGGAAGAGCAGAAGACGGUACCUGUCGAAUAAGCCACGGCUAACUACGUGCCAGCAGCCGCGGUAAUACGUAGGUGGCAAGCGUUGUCCGGAUUUACUGGGUGUAAAGGGAGCGUAGGCGGUGCAGCAAGUCAGAAGUGAAAGCCCGGGGCUCAACUCCGGGACUGCUUUUGACACUGUUGGACUAGAUUGCAGGAGA
rnacentral:rRNA from 1 species